ACAACAACUAGCACCACGCCCGACCCCCGCGGCCCACUUCCGCUUCCGUUGCCGCGGCAGCCGCCGGCCGAGGCGUGCGGGGAAAGGCGGGGGCGGGGGCGAGCGUGGUGCCUCGCUCCUGCAGCAGCGACACCUGAAACAACCUGUAAGACCCUGAAUAUUGGCUAAUUGCUCCGGCUAGAAAGGGGUAACAGUGGGGACAAAGACCUAGUGCAGAAAAUGGAGGCAUGGAAUAAAGGUGCAGACAAGGGUGUGAAGAAAGCUUCAGUUUAUCCUCAGUGCUAUGAGCCUCAUCCAAUGCCCACAGAAGACGACGGAAGGACUCCCAUUGACUUCAGUGGACACUGGACCAAGCCCUAAGGUAUAAGCAUCAUGCUUUCAACCAUCAAAAUCUGCUGUGGGCUAAAGGAGUGAGAUUAUCGCAUGGACCUAAUAGGUCUUAAUGUUCAGAUUGCAAGCUAUGAUUUAAUCGCCUAUGCGAACCUGUGCCUUGAGUGGAGUUUGCCGUCAGACUUGCUGGACAGAAACGACGAUUUGGAGCUAUGUUAAGUUGGUCACAGCAGCUACAGAUCUACAUCCGCUGAUAUGCACAAGUACCUGCUCCAGAAAUACUAAGCGAAACAAAGAGAUGGGAACUGAAUUUAUUCCCUGUUUUGAACAGUGCUCAGUAGAUGGCGCUUGAGACACAUGUGGGGCCAGUCUAUUAGCUUCAUUCCCAUGCCGACUUGUUAUUCAGUUCUGUAAAAAGGCUUUUUGUCUUAAUGAAUGGGCCGAUUUGCCUUUUCCCUUUUGGGGAGCCGUACAGCAUAGUAAGUGUUUUCAAAGAUUAAUCUGCCCGCCAUACCGUGAUUUUAAAAUUCCAAUGUAUACUGCUAUGAAUGAAAAGUGAGUUUCAGCCCACAGUUACUUUCUUUCUCACCGGAGUUACUAACUUGUUGCAAUCUCUCUCUCUCUCCUCUCCCUCGCUCCAUUGCUCUGAAACUAACUAUCAAUUUUUUCUUGUGUGCCCGUAGGCUGUAAUCUGAAAUAAACAACAGUAUCAGAAGAUAUGGAUUAAAGCCUUUAUUUCAACAGUAAAUGCUAGAUAGUUUGAACGUCAAGAUCUGAGUCCCUUGAUUGCUCCCUCUCCUCGCCAAGGACAGUAGAUUCUUGCUCUUUGUGGUCUAUGUGCUUAUCCUUUGAAAGGCACUGGAAGCAAGAUCUAUCAUUCUGUUUCCAACGUGUAAAUUACAGAUGUCAGACCAUAAUUCAUUUCUGUGCUGAGUUUUGAAAACGUGAUGUAGGUAAAACUUAAAGGAAUUAAAGCAGGACUUUUAGAGGGGGAUUUUCAAAGGCACCGAUUCAGGGUGGGAUUUUUAAAAGCACCUGUGUGAUUUAGGAGCAUUGACCUGUGCUCUUAAAUCACCUAGACGCUGUUGAAAAUUCACCCUUCAAUUUGAAGAACAUGUUACACUUUGCCAGGAUAAGAAUUCUUUCAUAGAUCAGUGUCAGAAUGGCAAUUUUCCGUGGACUCGCUCGAGUUGAGUCAAGAGGCUAGGGGCUGCUUGGCUAGUUUCAGGAGUUAGCACACAAACCACGAAUGCAGGAUAAAAUACCAAGUAAAAGCCCUUUCAAAUGUGUUGCUUUUGAUGCUCAGUUGGCGUUUCAGAUUUGACUGGUUCAAGACGACUCAGGUUUUCGAAUUUCCCCAUUCCCUGGUACGAUGAGUUUCUAACCAAGACCAACUUCUCUUUUAUUGUCACAUGUGAUCACCCACAUAAAUCUGUAGUGAAAUACAUAAACAAUAACAAACCAUCAUCCCAAAUCAACCAUAUUUAUUGUUCACAAGUAAAAUGCAUUCUCAAAAAAGUCACUAGGCAAGCCAUUUAUACAUUUGGGGGUCAGAGAGAUUUAACUUUUACUAAUUCAGUCUAUCGUUCUCAAUCAGUAGACACCUUACAACAGGAGGAAGAGUGAAUAAUGGUUAGAAAACGUUCAAGGUAAUUUAAUAUCUAUAUUGUGAACAAUGACCUUUACAGAGUUAAAAUAAACUCAAUUAAGUCUAUUCUAUCAAUAAUAAACCAGUAAUUUAGAGAACUGCUCAAGGCAAGAAUAUGUGUUCCAGGUUAUCUCAAAGGAACCACAAUUUGAUUUGCUGAAGUGUGAAUAUAAAUCUAAUAGCUAAACAAAUGUAUGUGUUACAUGACAGCUGUGAGCUUCUAUAGCAAACACUUAGUGGCAAACUUGUAGUCUGGAUGUCAGAUGUUUCUGAAUAGUAGCCCAGGUUGUUUUCCGUACGAUCUACUGUGUUCUGUAAAACAGUACUCUGCAGUACAUAAAUCAGUAAUCUACAAUACUGUAAUAAAUUAUAUAUUCCAGGAUAUUAGAAAAGUUAUAUUUUUAAAAAACAACAGUAACAAAAUAAGAACAACAUAGCUGUUAUAGCACUUUUUACCAGUAA